UACGUAGGUGGCAAGCGUUGUCCGGAUUUAUUGGGUUUAAAGGGUGCGUAGGCGGUUCUAUAAGUCAGUGGUGAAAUCCGGCAGCUCAACUGUCGAUGUGCCAUUGAUACUGCAGAACUUGAGUACAGACGAGGUAAGCGGAAUUGACGGUGUAGCGGUGAAAUGCUUAGAUAUCGUCAAGAACACCGAUAGCGAAGGCAGCUUACUAGACUGUAACUGACGCUGAUGCACGAAAGUGUGGGGAUCAAACAGG
rnacentral:rRNA from 1 species